rnacentral:rRNA from 1 species
UUAAGUGAAUAAGGGCGCACGGUGGAUGCCUUGGCACUAGGAGCCGAUGAAGGACGGGACUAACACCGAUAUGCUUUGGGGAGCUGUAAGUAAGCUAUGAUCCAGAGAUUUCCGAAUGGGGGAACCCAAUAUCUUUUAUAGGAUAUUACUUUUCAGUGAAUACAUAGCUGAUUAGAGGUAGACGCAGAGAACUGAAACAUCUUAGUACCUGCAGGAAGAGAAAGAAAAUUCGAUUCCCUGAGUAGCGGCGAGCGAAACGGGAAGAGCCCAAACCAACAAGCUUGCUUGUUGGGGUUGUAGGACUCCAAUAUGGUAGUCUGUUAGUAUAGUUGAAGGAUUUGGAAAAUUCCGCUAAAGAGGGUGAAAGCCCCGUAGACGAAAUGCUGACAACACCUAGGAGGAUCCUGAGUACGGCGGAACACGAGAAAUUCCGUCGGAAUCCGCGGGGACCAUCCCGCAAGGCUAAAUACUCCCUAGUGACCGAUAGUGAACCAGUACCGUGAGGGAAAGGUGAAAAGCACCCCGGAAGGGGAGUGAAAUAGAUCCUGAAACCGUGUGCCUACAACAAGUCAAAGCUCGUUAAUGAGUGAUGGCGUGCCUUUUGUAGAAUGAACCGGCGAGUUACGAUUGCAUGCGAGGUUAAGUCGAAGAGACGGAGCCGCAGCGAAAGCGAGUCUGAAUAGGGCGAAUGAGUAUGUAGUCGUAGACCCGAAACCAUGUGAUCUACCCAUGUCCAGGUUGAAGGUGCGGUAAAACGCACUGGAGGACCGAACCCACGUACGUUGAAAAGUGCGGGGAUGAGGUGUGGGUAGCGGAGAAAUUCCAAACGAACUUGGAGAUAGCUGGUUCUCUCCGAAAUAGCUUUAGGGCUAGCCUCGGAAUUGAGAAUGAUGGAGGUAGAGCACUGUUUGGACUAGGGGCCCAUCUCGGGUUACCGAAUUCAGAUAAACUCCGAAUGCCAUUCAUUUAUAUCCGGGAGUCAGACUGCGAGUGAUAAGAUCCGUAGUCGAAAGGGAAACAGCCCAGACCACCAGCUAAGGUCCCAAAAUAUAUGUUAAGUGGAAAAGGAUGUGGGGUUGCACAGACAACUAGGAUGUUGGCUUAGAAGCAGCCACCAUUUAAAGAGUGCGUAAUAGCUCACUAGUCGAGUGACCCUGCGCCGAAAAUGUACCGGGGCUAAACAUAUUACCGAAGCUGUGGACUACACCAUUAGGUGUAGUGGUAGGAGAGCGUUCUAAGGGCGUUGAAGGUCGAUCGUGAGGACGGCUGGAGCGCUUAGAAGUGAGAAUGCCGGUAUGAGUAGCGAAAGACAGGUGAGAAUCCUGUCCACCGUAUGACUAAGGUUUCCUGGGGAAGGCUCGUCCGCCCAGGGUUAGUCGGGACCUAAGCCGAGGCCGAUAGGCGUAGGCGAUGGACAACAGGUUGAUAUUCCUGUACCAGUUGUUUUUGUUUGAACAAUGGAGGGACGCAGUAGGCUAAGGAAUGCAUGCGAUUGGAAGUGCAUGUCCAAGCAAUGAGUCUUGAGUAGAGUUAAAUGCUUUACUCUUUAAGGACAAGUUGUGACGGGGAGCGAAAUAAUAGUAGCGAAGUUCCUGAUGUCACACUGCCAAGAAAAGCUUCUAGUGAGAAAACAACUGCCCGUACCGUAAACCGACACAGGUAGUCGAGGAGAGUAUCCUAAGGUGAGCGAGCGAACUCUCGUUAAGGAACUCGGCAAAAUGACCCCGUAACUUCGGGAGAAGGGGUGCUGACUUCGGUCAGCCGCAGUGAAUAGGCCCAAGCGACUGUUUAUCAAAAACACAGGUCUCUGCAAAAUCGUAAGAUGAAGUAUAGGGGCUGACGCCUGCCCGGUGCUGGAAGGUCAAGAGGAUGGGUUAGCUUCGGCGAAGCUCAGAAUUGAAGCCCCAGUAAACGGCGGCCGUAACUAUAACGGUCCUAAGGUAGCGAAAUUCCUUGUCGGGUAAGUUCCGACCCGCACGAAAGGCGUAACGA